GAUGUUAUUCUUUGAAUCUAUGCUGAUGCUAAUGCUAACGCUAGCAUUAGCUUUGAGACCUGGAGCUACAGAAGAUAUUUUCUGACAAGUUAAAAGUUGCCUAAAUUUCAGUGCUUACAAAAUAUUUGGAAACAGAGCUAAAGUCGGUCAAUUUUAGCGUGACUAUCAUUAAGAUGUCCCCCUAGAGCAAAUGAAGCUUCAUGAAGGAUUGCUCUGGAGUGAACCAAUUGGAAGAAAGGCUUCAGUGCUUCAAGGAAGCUUCAUCUGCAUCUGCCCAUCACUACUGGAGCUGGAGAGCUGGACUGAAAGGAAGAGGGCACCAUGGAGUUUGAGCAGCUACAGGACAAGAUAAGUGAAGCGUUGGUGCAGCUACAGCCUGAGCAGCUCCAAAAGGCUUUGACCAGCAGAUGGAGCUAAUGUUACACUAUUAAGACAUCCAGACGUGAGCAUGCCCGAGCUGCUUUACUAGGUUUUGGGAAGAAUCUUUCACUAUUGUUUAUGUUUGUUUCUUUACAUAUGUGACCUAUUAGCAUUGCUUCAUGACUGAGACAGAAGAGCAUGUUUGCAUGUUGUCAUGUUAUCUAUGUACAAUCUCAAAACAUGUCUCUGUUCACGUACAGCAAAGCUUCACGUCAGAGAGAGAUAAAACAAAAUCAAGUGAAAUCCUCUGACUGAAAGGAUAGAUUUUCUUUUUCUUUAGAUGUAACUUUUUUCCAAGAUAGAGUACUCCCAACACUUAGCAGUGGCGGGUGAAGAUGUAAUCUCUUUCCUGAUGAACGAGCAGGUUCCUCUCAGGCAGCAGCUCUCGGUGCACCAGAAACUGUGAAAUCGGGAGAAUUUGUGUCUGUGAUUUCCAUCUUCCUACGAGUGUGUGUCUCCUUGUGCAAAUGGUGGAAAAGAUGCAAAUGCUGGAUCUAGAUUACCAGUGGGAAAACAUUAACAGUCUAUCCAUCCAUCCAUCCAUUCAUUUUCCUUACCCACUAUAUCCCUUUCAGGGUCAUGGGGUUGCUGGAGCCUGUCCCAACUACUGUUAGAUGGUUACACCCAGGACAGGUCACAGAUACAACCUUCCGAUGAAUUGACUGAGAGUGUUGAGGAAGUCGGAAACUCCAUUAUCGCGGGCCCCUGAUGAAAACCCAUUAAUGGCUCGGCAGGCAGGAUUGAGGUCGAAGGAGAGACCUCUCAGUGCAGCCGCACACAAAGCCAUAAAGCCUGAUGUAGCGGCCUCUCAUCGAAAAUCUGCAGCUGAGGAAGAAUAACUGUGCCGAUAUCUGCAGACCUGUUGAAAUAAAGGGGGCAUUAACUGCUGCUUCCUCUGCAUUAUUGAUGCAAAGGGCCAUUCCUGAGGCCAUAAUGCCUUCUACCCCCCCUUUGCAAUUUUCUCGUAGACGUCUCGCUGUCUUCAAAACGCUAAGGGGGAAAGAAAGCAUGCAAGACUUUUUUUUUCCCUGCAGGUUUAUUCAAAGCAUCAGUGAGAAGCCGUGAAGCCCCAACAACUCGUGCCACCAGCAGGAAGUGAUAGUGUAACGCAAGGUGCCACCCGCUCUAAUGAGGCCAAAAGAGGCAGAGGUUUCCUCCUCACAUGACACCUUCGGCGCAGAGAUUUUCGAAUCAACUUUGUUGCAAAAAAGAAAAACCUCAUGAGUCACCUCCGCUGCCACCUACAGUAUAUUUGUUGUUGGAGCUCUCCAACACCGUUCGCUUUAUCUUCUGGCGAGCAGCUUGAGACACCUUACAGCUCGGCUGACCUCAUCCUGUCAUAUGAUUUAAUGAGUGGAGCUGUGUCACAAAACGCAGCGUCCGCGGCCUGACAGGAUGGGUCCACACAAUGCUCCGAAGAUUAAUGAGGUCAUCUCCCCUUUCAAUACGUGUAAAAGACACUCAGAGAGGAAGAAAGAAACUCGAUGACUUUUGCAACCACGUAAUAUAAAUGACGCAAAUAGGAUGGGAAUAACAGCUUCUCUAUUCAUGUCAGCAGGGAUUGCUGUGGCCUGGCCUUUGAUUCUGCUCCACUGUGUGGAGUUUCAUGUGAGGUGGAUGCCUUUAGCGUCACGAUGAUAACGCUCUCUCAAGGAGUUUCCAGAUCAAUUCAUUUCAAAAUCCAGAUGCCCGUCUUCCAUCUCCAUACAGCGUUGCAAUGCUUUGUAUUGAUUAUUCCGGCCAUUCCCGUGCUGUAGCGCGCCAGACAAAGGAGAUUGCUUGAGAAAUGGAAGGAUGAUAAUGCAAUUAGACUGAACAGUAGUGCUCUGACGAAAUGGAAGUAGAAUGUCAGGGAUUAACAGAUGGCCUUCAAAACACCCCGCUAUAAGGGGAUGACCACACAAAGUGAAGAAUAGGGAAUUUGUCAACAUUUGCUGGUUUGGAUGGCUCAGGAACAUAAAAACAAUGUAUGCCCAUUUCUUUACUUUAUGGGGUUUUAGUUUGCCCACAGCGAUGGCUUAAGACCAAGAAAGUUUUAUAAAUACGCUCCCUCAUAAAACGGUGUUCCAACUGUCUUCAGCCGCAGGAUUCUGCAAACAGCUCGGAAAAUUAAAAUAAUUGACACUUGCAAAGUCAGGCUAAACUAGAGGAGGAAUGCUAAGUAUUUUCACUCGGUUGUAACUUUUGAAAGUAGUCAGGAACCAGUAAAAGGAGAAGUUCAAGCAAA